rnacentral:rRNA from 1 species
GCAGAUUCAAUUUUCUGCCACCGAAUACAUUAGCAUGGGAUAAUGGAAUAGGACCCUGUCCUCCUAUUUUCAGUUGGUUUUGGCAGCGCGAGGACUAGGGUAAUGAUUAAUAGGGAUAGUUGGGGGCAUUAAUAUUUAAUUGUCAGAGGUGAAAUUCUUGGAUUUAUGAAAGAUUAACUUCUGCGAAAGCAUCUGCCAAGGAUGUUUUCAUUAAUCAAGAACGAAAGUUAGGGGAUCGAAGACGAUCAGAUACCGUCGUAGUCUUAACCAUAAACGAUGCCGACCAGCGAUUAGGAGACGUUGAAUACAAAACACCACCAUCGGCGCGGUCGUCCUUGGCGUUCGUGUUCACGCACGGGCGCGAGGGCGGCUUAGCCCGAUGGCACCGGUGAAUGAC